GAUGAUUCUGUUUUCCAUUGUUGACAACCAUGAGAGUUUUACUUCAGUUCGUCUGCUUUCAAGAUGAUCAUUGGUGUCCCUGUUUUUUGGUUUCUGAUGUCUCAAGUCCAAGUGUUAUCAGCUGUGAGUACAACAGAAGGGAAACAAUUUUUGAUUUCCGCUCCACCUUUCCCAAGAGAAGAUAACCGUGAUAACAUUUUCAAACUUAUCCUAAAAGUGCAGUCACGAUAUACUACUGUGGUCGUGUUGACUGCUAGGUCGACUUGGACAUCAGACGUGAAGUCGAACAGACACGUGAGCCUGACGCCUCUUGUUCCAGAUCAGUUCGAGGUAGACACUUU
rnacentral:sRNA from 1 species